rnacentral:lncRNA from 1 species
UUUUGAUUUAUUUGUUUAUAUACAUUGUUAUUUUAUAUGAUUGUAGGACUAACGUUUAUUUAUUAUUGUUGCUAUUGCUCAUAUCAUUUUAUACUUUUGUAUUCAUUAUGAUUUUGCCAUGAAUAACAACAAUGCAAAUUGCUUUCACAUUUUUUUACUACGAUUUUAGUGUUUUAUUUUACUCGACAUAACAUAAUUUGUUUUGAAUAAAUAAUAUUUCGUCUUUAGAUUCGAGAGGAUCGUAUCUUAACUUACUGGGUUUCGAUUUUCACGAUAAAUCUAAAUGACGAAUCUUUUUAAACUCAAAUUUUAAAUGAUCUCGGGGUUUAAAAAAAAAUCGCGUCCUAACUUACUGGUCGUGAUCUCGUUUAAAUCCGAGAGGGCUAAAUUUUUAAAUAAACAUUUUUCAUUCGCGUAUCGGGAAUUCGAGACAUCGUGUUCUAACUUACUGGAUAUGACUCUCUUUCUCGAAUAACGUGAAAUAUGCUUCUUUUUCAAUUUUUUUUUAUAAUACAAGGAUUGUAUUUUUAAUUCCUUCAAGUUCUCAAUUUUCGACAUCAAAACAUUAGCUAAUCAACUAGGUACCAAUUUUGGGCGUAUCGAGGGCGCUAAUCCUUCCUCGUGCGUAACCGACUCCCGUACCCGUUUUCUAAAUUUCGUAGACCAAAACCGUUGUUUUAAUAAAAAUCAAAUUAUUUAUUAAAAACAUCCUUUCUCAAGGUGACCCAAUCACACCUCAAAAAAG